rnacentral:rRNA from 1 species
CCCUUAGAUGUUCUGGGCUGCACGCGCGCUACACUGAUGCUUUCAUCGAGUAUAUAACCUUACCAGACAUGGUUGGGUAAUCUUUUGAAACAGCAUCGUGAUGGGGAUAGAUUAUUGUAAUUAUUAGUCUUCAACGAGGAAUUCCUAGUAAGCGCGAAUCAUCAGUUCGUGCUGAUUACGUCCCUGCCCUUUGUACACGCCGCCCGUCGCUCCUACCGAUUGAGUAAUCCGGUGAAUAAUUCGGACCGAUUGCGGUGUCAGUUCCUGGCGCCGCAGACGGAAAGUCUAGUGAACCUUAUUACUUAGAGGAAGGAGAAGUCGUAACA